rnacentral:rRNA from 1 species
AGAGUUUGAUCCUGGCUCAGGACGAACGUUGGCGGUGCGCUUAAUGCAUGCAAGUCGAGGGAGAACCAUUCGAUCCGUAAGGACUGGAUGGGGAAACCGGCGAACGGGUGCGUAACACGUGAGGAACCUGCCCCGAAGACCGGGAUAGCCCGAGGAAACUCGGAUUAAUACCGGAUACCCUCUUUGGACCACAUGGUCCGCUGAGGAAAUGGUCCGCCGCUUCGGGAUGGCCUCGCGGCCUAUCAGCUUGUUGGUGAGGUAACGGCUCACCAAGGCAAAGACGGGUAGCUGGUCUGAGAGGACGAUCAGCCACACUGGGACUGAGACACGGCCCAGACUCCUACGGGAGGCAGCAGCAGGGAAUAUUGCACAAUGGGCGAAAGCCUGAUGCAGCGACACCGCGUGCGGGAUGAAGGCCCUCGGGUUGUAAACCGCUUUCAGGAGGGACGAAAAUGACGGUACCUCCAGAAGAAGCCCCGGCCAACUACGUGCCAGCAGCCGCGGUAAUACGUAGGGGGCGAACGUUGUCCGGAUUUAUUGGGCGUAAAGAGCUCGUAGGCGGCUCAGCAAGUCGGCCGUGAAAGCCCGGGGCUCAACCCCGGGACGCCGGUCGAAACUGCUGUGGCUAGGGUCCGGUAGAGGAGAGUGGAAUUCCCGGUGUAGCGGUGAAAUGCGCAGAUAUCGGGAGGAACACCAUUA